UUAAUAGGAAAUUAAUUUUUUUUAAUAAAUUAUUAUUUUUAUUAGUAUUUUUUAGAAAUUAUUAUAGGUUUUGUACUGUGAAGGAUUUUAUAAAAUUUUAAAAUAGAAAUAUUUGAAUUGUGUACCUUGUGUAUUAGGGAAUUUUAAUAUAGUAAAUAAGAUUAUUUUUCUCGAUUUAUUUGUGGGCUAAAAUUUUAAGUAUUUGGUGUAGCAUAAUCAAAUAAAAUUUAAUUUUAGUGAUGAUAUAUUAUUCAAACAAUAGGGUAUCUAGUUUCUUAAGAAUCAAAUUUAAUUUGUGUUAAACAAUAUUUUUGUUUAAUAUGAACUCAGUUAGGGAUGAGCUUAUCUGAGAAUAAAAUAUAUGAAGUUAGUUUAUAAAAUUAUAUAGAUUUAAAAUUGAUCUUUUUUAUAAUAUGUUAUAGUAAAGUUAUUAAAACUUAAAAAUUUUAUUUAAGUAUUAUUUUAUUUAUUAAGAUGUAAAUUUUAAUUAAUCAAUAUUAAUAAUAAUGAAAUUAUUAGUAAUUUAUUAUUUAAAAAUUAUUUAUUAUAUAAUUAACUUUAAGGAAUUAGGCAAAUUAAAUUUUCGCCUGUUUAGCAAAAACAUGGUUUCUUGGUAUUUGAUAAGAAAUCAGGCCUGCCCACUGAGAAUGAAGGGCUGCAGUAUUUUGACUGUACAAAGGUAGCAUAAUCAUUAGUCUUUUAAUUGAGGACUGGUAUGAAAGGUUUGACGGAAAUUAACUGUCUCAAAGUUAUAUAUUGAAUUUUAUUUUUAGGGCAAAGGGCCUAAAUAAGUUAAUGGGACGAGAAGACCCUGUUAAGCUUUAUUAAAUAUUAUUUAUUUGUUUAUUAAAAUGAAAAUUGUAAAUAAUAUUUAAAUUUACUGGGGCGGUAAAUAGUAAACAAUAUUUAUUUUUAAUAUAAUCAUUAACGUUAAUAUGAUCCGAGGGGAUCGAUAAUAAGAGUAAGUUACUACAGGGAUAACAGCGUAAUAUUUUUUAAGAGUUCAUAUUGACAAAAAUGUUUGCGACCUCGAUGUUGGAAUAAGAAGUCUUAUAAGUGCAGUAGUUUAUAAAGAAGGUCUGUUCGACCUUUAAUUUCUUACAUGAUCUGAGUUCAGACCGGCGUGAGCCAGGUCGGUUUCUAUCUUUUAUAAUUAUUUAGUUGGAGUAGUACGAAAGGACCCUACAACAUAAAUUUUUUAGUAAAAAAGAGUUAUAUAAAAUUUAAGUAAAAA
rnacentral:rRNA from 1 species